UGGGGAAUUUUGGACAAUGGGCGAAAGCCUGAUCCAGCAAUGCCGCGUGUGUGAAGAAGGCCUUCGGGUUGUAAAGCACUUUUGUCCGGAAAGAAAUCUGCCUGGCUAAUACCCGGGCGGGAUGACGGUACCGGAAGAAUAAGCACCGGCUAACUACGUGCCAGCAGCCGCGGUAAUACGUAGGGUGCAAGCGUUAAUCGGAAUUACUGGGCGUAAAGCGUGCGCAGGCGGCUUUGUAAGACAGAUGUGAAAUCCCCGGGCUUAACCUGGGAACUGCAUCCGUGACUGCAAGGCUAGAGUGCGUCAGAGGGAGGUGGAAUUCCGCGUGUAGCAGUGAAAUGCGUAGAGAUGCGGAGGAACACCGAUGGCGAAGGCAGCCUCCUGGGAUGACACUGACGCUCAUGCACGAAAGCGUGGGGAGCAAACA
rnacentral:rRNA from 1 species